UGAAACUGANGGUCUUGAGGGCAGGAGAGGAAAGCAGAAUUCCUGGUGUAGCGGUGAAAUGCGUAGAAAUCAGGAGGAAUACCAGUGGCGAAGGCGGCUUCCUGGACUGUCCCUGACGCUG
rnacentral:rRNA from 1 species